rnacentral:lncRNA from 12 species
AUGAUUUCUUGGUCAAGAAGAUGUUUGCAGUGGAAGUUCGUAAACGUAGCUGCAACUGAUUUAUCCCUUAUUCACUCUUCUUUAAAAAAAAUAAAACUAAUGAAGAAAUACAAUACUAAUGAAGAGAGAUCCCAGAGUUUUAAAAAAAAGAAAGAAAGAAAGAAGACAACACUUAUGGGAUAUGAAAACCAGGUGCAGAGGACUGAAAAGUACUGCCAUCAGGGUCUGCCUCCUGCUACCAUGCAAACCAGCCUCUUGAGGAUGAGACCCCUUGUGAAGAAAGGCCUUUGGCAUCCCGGCUGUUUUUGCUGUAGCCCCAGAGCCUCGGGCAUAGAGGGAGGCCUUUUCUCCUCACUGAGCCCCAGAUGA